GGUUUAUUCGCCGAUGUGACUCGCGACACCAGAGCAUUUUGCUUAAUUUUUGUGUGCAUAUUUUUAUAGUCCAUCACGAGAUAAGAGUGUCAUUACGAGUAUCUUACAUACUAGAACAGCAAAAACAGAGGUGCGGUGGGCAGUUCGUUCAUCUGGGCAUUAGGCGAGGCACCAGGGCAUUUCACUUUAUAUUAGAACUAGAAGCAGAGGUGCAGUGUGCGCCCACAACGAAACAAAUGAUGGGAAGGGGAAGGGAAGGAGAAAGGGUAUAUUUAUUUACAGUGCAGAAUGGGACCGGUGUGAUC
rnacentral:lncRNA from 1 species